rnacentral:rRNA from 1 species
CAAUAGCGUAUAUUUAAGUUGUUGCAGUUAAAAAGCUCGUAGUUGGAUUUUGGGUCGGGGGCACCGGUCCGCCGUUCCGGUGUGCACUGGUGGCCCCUUCCUUUCUGCCGGGGACGUGCGUCGCACUUAAUUGGGUGGCGUUCGGAGUCGGCGUUGUUACUUUGAAAAAAUUAGAGUGUUCAAAGCAAGCCAUCGCUCUGAAUACAUUAGCAUGGAAUAACAUGAUAGGACUCCGGUCUUAUUUUGUUGGUUUCCGAGACUGGAGUAAUGAUUAAGAGGGACAGUCGGGGCAUCCGUAUUUCAUUGUCAGAGGUGAAAUUCUUGGAUUUAUGAAAGACGAACUUCUGCGAAAGCAUUUGCCAAGGAUGUUUUCAUUAA